AAAAACAUCGCCUCUAGAAUAUCCUUCUAUUAGAGGUCCCUCCUGCCCAGUGACAAGUUGUUAAACGGCCGCGGUACCCUGACCGUGCAAAGGUAGCAUAAUCAUUUGCCUUUUAAUUAAAGGCUAGUAUGAACGGACACACGAAAGCCUUGCUGUCUCACAAAGGGAUCUAUAAAUUAUCCUUCAAGUGAAGAGACUUGAAUCCAUUAAAAAGACGAAAAGACCCUAUGGAGCUUUACCUAAAGAUGAAUAACACCUCUUCAGAGGGUUUAGUUGGGGCGACUAAGGAGCAAAUUGAAGCCUCCUUCAUAAAAAGAAAAUAACUCGUACAAAGAUCCACAACUGUGAAUAAAGAAUCAGCUACCCUAGGGAUAACAGGCUAAUCUCCCCCGAGAGCUCAAAUUGACGGGGAGGGUUGGCACCUCGAUGUUGGCUUAAGGUUCCUCCAAGGUGUAGCAGCUUUGGCACGUGGGUUUGUUCAACCCUUAAAACCUUACAUGAUCUGA
rnacentral:rRNA from 1 species